CGUCUCAAGGAGCAGAUGGCAAAGCCUGCUACGGGUCCAGCCCUGAUGGCACAGCUGCAGAAGCUGGCUGGGGAUAUAGCGGUUCUUCUUUACAUCCCGCUUCUUCUUGCUUCACCCUCUCUAUGCCUGAGGAUCUCGCUGUCGACUUAGAGGAUUAAAAGCACACAGGAACCUUGGGGGCAGUGACUCUGAACCCCCUUAGCUUUCCCGAUGGAACACUCCAGGCUCCUGGACCGCUCCUCGUGUCUCCUGGUCUCCAUCACUCUCAUCACACUCAUGGCUUUCCUGGGCUGACUUCCAGUUUCCCCACUUCCGAAAGCCUGCUGAGCACGCCGGACACACUCCUCUGAGUCCAGAAUCGAAAUACUGAUGCACAAGGUCCUGAUAACAUGGGAAAUACUGAGGGGUCGUGCUGAUCGGAGCAGCAGGAGGGGGGCUCUGUAUUGACUGUCGCAGGCAGCCCACGGCCCGGGCAGCCCAGAAGACUGAGCUGACGUUCACCAGCUGCGAGGGAAUCAAGUGGGAUCCUGUCUAGCUGUCUGCCGUCACUCUGGGCAGAAACCGCUGGCUCCUCAAGCAGACUGGCCUCCCACAGGACUGCCCCAGAGCCGGCCCGGACACAGUUCACCCGCCCCCAGCAGAGUGUGCCCGGCAGCCGGCGGUGAGCUCCGCAAACCCAGAUGCCCUUGUGAUUCAGACGCUCCCCC